GACGAACGCUGGCGGCGUGCUUAACACAUGCAAGUCGAACGAAGAGCGAUGGAAGCUUGCUUCUAUCAAUCUUAGUGGCGAACGGGUGAGUAACGCGUAAUCAACCUGCCCUUCAGAGGGGGACAACAGUUGGAAACGACUGCUAAUACCGCAUACGAUCUAAUCUCGGCAUCGAGGAUAGAUGAAAGGUGGCCUCUACAUGUAAGCUAUCACUGAAGGAGGGGAUUGCGUCUGAUUAGCUAGUUGGAGGGGUAACGGCCCACCAAGGCGAUGAUCAGUAGGCGGUCUGAGAGGAUGGACGGCCACAUUGGGACUGAGACACGGCCCAGACUGCUACGGGAGGCAGCAGUGGGGAAUCUUCCGCAAUGGACGAAAGGCUGACGGAGCAACGCCGCGUGAGUGAUGACGGCCGUCGGGUUGUAAAGCUCUGUUAAUCGGGACGAAAGGCCUUCUUGCGAAUAGUGAGAAGGAUUGACGGUACCGGAAUAGAAAGCCACGGCUAACUACGUG
rnacentral:rRNA from 1 species